rnacentral:rRNA from 1 species
CGAGUCUGAAUAGGGCGAUAGUCGCUGGGAGUAGACCCGAAACCGGGCGAUCUAGCCAUGUGCAGGAUGAAGGUUGGGUAACACCAACUGGAGGUCCGAACCGGGUAAUGUUGAAAAAUUAUCGGAUGACGUGUGGCUAGGAGUGAAAGGCUAAUCAAGCCCGGAGAUAGCUGGUUCUCCCCGAAAGCUAUUUAGGUAGCGCCUCGUGAAUGAUUACUGGGGGUAGAGCACUGUUUCGGCUAGGGGGCUGUCAUGGCUUACCAAACCGAUGCAAACUCCGAAUACCGGCUAAUUGAAUCACGGGAGACACACGGCGGGUGCUAACGUCCGUCGUGGAGAGGGAAACAACCCAGACCGCCAGCUAAGGUCCCCAAGUACUAGUUAAGUGGGAAACGAUGUGGGAAGGCAUAGACAGCCAGGAGGUUGGCUUAGAAGCAGCCACCCUUUAAAGAAAGCGUAAUAGCUCACUGGUCGAGUCGGCCUGCGCGGAAGAUGUAACGGGGCUAAAACUAGUCACCGAAGCUGCGGAUGUGCGCGAAGGCGCACGUGGUAGGGGAGCGUUCUGUAAGCUGAUGAAGGUGCAUUGAGAAGUGUGCUGGAGGUAUCAGAAGUGCGAAUGCUGACAUGAGUAACGAUAAUGUGGGUGAAAAGCCCACACGCCGGAAGUCCCAGGUUUCCUGCACGACGUUAAUCGGAGCAGGGUGAGUCGGCCCCUAAGGCGAGGCUGAAGAGCGUAGUCGAUGGGAACCAGGUUAAUAUUCCUGGACUUUUUAUAAGUGGUGAAGUGGGGACGAAGAAGGCUAGGUGAGCCAGGCGUUGGUUGUCCUGGUACUUGCAUGUAGGGGGGAAGACUUGGCAAAUCCGGUUUUCCAUAACUCUGAGGUGCGAAGUGGUUCUGACC